rnacentral:lncRNA from 9 species
GAGCAGGUGAAAAAGAAAUAACGUGGAAUUACUCCUGAUGAGGUCAGAAAAAUAUCACGUGGUUUCAGUGAAGCAGCUGCAUUUCCAGGAAGCCAGCCAGGGCACACAGGAGGGAGGAGCAAGGCAGUAGCACCCCUAAGCUAUUUCCUGGUCUGGCCCAGCCCGAGUCUCAGAGCCAGAGAGGAGUGAGCUGGACUCCCUUCAAAGCAAUCCUGUGCCAGGAUCUCCUACCAGAGGAUCGUCGGCCUCAGGUCAGCUCCAGGCUUGUCUCGGUGCAGGUUCCCGGAAUGAGAGGGUCCUGCUGGGAGCAGUGAGACAGGGGAGGGGGUGUCCACAUCUCAGAUGAACCUGCUUGGUGGACCAGAAAGGGGGCUGGUCAGGGGGCUGCUGGUAGGUGUUCCCAGGUGACCCGGAGUGCAGAGGAGGGGGCCCAGUAGCCAAGCUCAGGGCCAGAAGGGGGAGAGGGCAGCUGGGGGA